GCUUUCGUGGUGCAAUGGUCAACGCACUCGGCGCAUAAUCGAGAGGUCCGUGGUUCGAGUCCCGGCAAGACCA
rnacentral:tRNA from 1 species